UGACAGUACUCCUACGGGAGGCAGCAGUGGGGGAAUAUUGCACAAUGGGCGCAAGCCUGAUGGAGCAACACCGCGUGAGUGAAGAAGGGUUUCGGCUCGUAAAGCUCUGUUGUUAAAGAAGAACACGUAUGAGAGUAACUGUUCAUACGUUGACGGUAUUUAACCAGAAAGUCACGGCUAACUACGUGCCAGCAGCCGCGGUAAUACGUAGGUGGCAAGCGUUAUCCGGAUUUAUUGGGCGUAAAGAGAGUGCAGGCGGUUUUCUAAGUCUGAUGUGAAAGCCUUCGGCUUAACCGGAGAAGUGCAUCGGAAACUGGAUAACUUGAGUGCAGAAGAGGGUAGUGGAACUCCAUGUGUAGCGGUGGAAUGCGUAGAUAUAUGGAAGAACACCAGUGGCGAAGGCGGCUACCUGGUCUGCAACUGACGCUGAGACUCGAAAGCAUGGGUAGCGAACAGGAUUAGAUACCCUGGUAG
rnacentral:rRNA from 1 species